ACUCCUACGGGAGGCAGCAGUGGGGAAUUUUGGACAAUGGGCGAAAGCCUGAUCCAGCAAUGCCGCGUGAGUGAAGAAGGCCUUCGGGUUGUAAAGCUCUUUUGUCAGGGAAGAAACGGUGAAAGCUAAUAUCUUUUGCUAAUGACGGUACCUGAAGAAUAAGCACCGGCUAACUACGUGCCAGCAGCCGCGGUAAUACGUAGGGUGCAAGCGUUAAUCGGAAUUACUGGGCGUAAAGCGUGCGCAGGCGGUUUUGUAAGUCUGAUGUGAAAUCCCCGGGCUCAACCUGGGAAUUGCAUUGGAGACUGCAAGGCUAGAAUCUGGCAGAGGGGGGUAGAAUUCCACGUGUAGCAGUGAAAUGCGUAGAUAUGUGGAGGAACACCGAUGGCGAAGGCAGCCCCCUGGGUCAAGAUUGACGCUCAUGCACGAAAGCGUGGGGAGCAAACAGGAUUAGAUACCCUGGUAGUCCACGCCCUAAACGAUGUCUACUAGUUGUCGGGUCUUAAUUGACUUGGUAACGCAGCUAACGCGUGAAGUAGACCGCCUGGGGAGUACGGUCGCAAGAUUAAAACUCAAAGGAAUUGACGGGGACCCGCACAAGC
rnacentral:rRNA from 1 species